GAGUUUGAUCGUGGCUCAGAUUGAACGCUGGCGGCAUGCCUAACACAUGCAAGUCGAACGGCAGCACUGGGAGCUUGCUCCCUGGUGGCGAGUGGCGGACGGGUGAGUAACGCGUAGGAAUCUGCCUCAUAGCGGGGGACAACUCGGGGAAACUCGAGCUAAUACCGCAUACUACUCGAGAGAGGAAAGCAGGGGACCUUCGGGCCUUGCACUAUGAGAUGAGCCUGCGUUGGAUUAGCUAGUUGGUAGGGUAAAGGCCUACCAAGGCGACGAUCCAUAACUGGUUUGUAGAGGAUGACCAGUCACACUGGGACUGAGACACGGCCCAGACUCCUA
rnacentral:rRNA from 1 species